AUACGGAGGGUGCGAGCGUUAAUCGGAAUUACUGGGCGUAAAGCGUACGUAGGCGGUUGGUUAAGUUAGAUGUGAAAGCCCCGGGCUUAACCUGGGAACUGCAUUUAAAACUGGCGAACUAGAGUUGAGUAGAGGGGAGUGGAAUUUCAGGUGUAGCGGUGAAAUGCGUAGAGAUCUGAAGGAACACCAGUGGCGAAGGCGACUCCCUGGACUCGAACUGACGCUGAGGUACGAAAGCGUGGGCAGCAAACGGGAUUAGAAACCCUAGUAGUCC
rnacentral:rRNA from 1 species